GCAUUAUGACUCGGAACAGAUGUUUGACAUUUGCGAGCGUGAUGUGUGUGAAAGUGAAAGAUAAAACGUAAGGUUAAAUAAAAACGGAUAACAAGUAACAUAUAUAAUGUUAAUCAAUGAAAAUGUGUUAACAGUUUAAAAUUUUUUUUCAACAUUAACAGUCGUAUAUACUCUCAUCUCUUAAACACAUGCCCUAAUUGUAUUCUUAGAUCUAUGAAAGUGGCUGGUAUUUAUUUAUAAUCGCAGGUAGCCAUGUUUUUGCAAGGGUCGCACUUGCUCGACCUCCAACAUGGGCGUUCCUUUUUGUCGUCUGCAAUGUGUCAAAUGAACAGAAAAUGAUUGAAAACUGUUGGGUAGCCGAGUAGAAGAUAUUAAAUUCGUGGAAAUCGAUGUGUCAACAAAGACGCCUUUAAAGAAAUCGAGGAAUGCGUUAUCCGUUUUGAUGAACGUAACGAAUUUUCUUUUGCUAUUUUUAUUGACGGUGUUGCGAUAACAAAAGACGUUUCUCGUGCAAUUGAAUACGAUAAUUGAAUUAAAAGCACGAGAAAAAAGUGCGAGCUUGCUUCAACGGAUAAUCUCUUCUUCAUCGAAACUUCGAAACUCUUAAUUUAACGUGAAAUCAAUGAGGAUUCCCAUCGAUUCAAUCGUAAGGUUAUGCAGUGGAUUCGAGAAAAAAUAAAGAACUUUUUAUAUGCUAAUUAUUUUAUAGAAGCGAAAGAGAGUAGGAGAGAGAGAAAGAAAGAAGAAAAGUUUUUUCGUGGGUAGUAAACAGCGAAAUAUUUUAAUGUGUGCCGCAAGUUCUGAGAAACUAAAAUACAAGAGUUCUGUUUAAAAUCAGCUGAUCGGCAAAGAGAGAGUUUGUGAGAUUUAAUUAGGCUUUAAUGAGAAUAUAUGUGAAUUAUUUUGAGUAUACAUAUAUUGAAGAUAUUUAUUACACAAGAUUUUGUUCAAACAAAAAUUCUAAAAAAAAAAAGAAAAACAGAAAAUGUCGACGAACAAUUCGGUCACAAUGAGUACAAACAGAGGCGGUAAUUUUCAAAAUCGCAAUUCCCAGAGAUCUACUCUUCUGAAAGUGGUAAUACUUGGAGAUGGUGGUGUUGGAAAGUCCUGUCUUAUGAACAGAUUCGUAUCGAAUCAUUUCGAUGAACACAGUUUUCAUACUAUUGGAGUAGAAUUUCUGAAUAAAGAUAUUGAAAUCAAUGGUGAAGCGUAUACAUUGCAAAUAUGGGAUACCGCCGGUCAGGAAAGAUUUAAGACUCUGAGAACACCUUUCUAUAGAGGCUCAGACAUUUGUCUUCUGACUUAUGCAGUAGAUGAUAGGAUGAGUUUUAGAAAUCUGGCGCUAUGGAGAUCUGAAUUUCUUAAGUAUGCAGAUGUUCAAGAAGACUCCAGUUUUCCAUUUAUUGUUGUUGGUAAUAAGGUGGAUGUUGCAGAGUCUGAAAAGCAAGUUUCCACAGAAGAAGCUCAAGCUUGGUGUUUAGAAAAUGGUGGUCCUCCGUUAGUUGAAACAUCAGCGAAAGAUGCCACUAAUGUUGAGGCAGCAUUUGGGGCAGCGGUUGACGCAUGGGCGAGAUUAGAAGCUAGAUUAGAACGGCCUUUAGUAGAAGACACUGUCGAUCUUUCUAAACAGCAGUCUCCACAUCGUUCGAGCUGCUGCAUGCCUGUGUCCAGCACUGAAUCUUCAUUUGUGACCAGUUAAUUGAAAUGGGUUGUAAGAAGAUAAGCAUAUAUAUACAAUCUUAUGCGAUACAAUAUUUUUGGAACUGUCAUUUAAAGUUUCUUUACAUUUGGAAGGAGUACAUAAUGUCACAAAUUGAACUCAUAGAAAUGGUGUUUUUAUUCUCUUUAGGAUCAAUAAAAACACUACACGAUAUAUGUGUCUAACAAAGUAAUUUGAAGAGAAUGUCUUGCCUGUCUACAAUAUUCUAUUCAUUAUAUGGUAAACUUUCUUUAUUGACACGCUGGAAUUACGUCGAUUGCAUGUAAAUGGCAUAUGUUCUUUCAAAUUUUUUACUUAAGGCUGAUUAAAAUUUCCAAAGAAAGUGGUCUAAUUUAUAGGAUAUUAUUAGUAAUGAACAAACGAUGAUUUUACUGAUUAAGUCUUUCUUUUCUAUGAAUCUUAAUAAAAUACUCAAGUAAAGCCACAGAGGUCGUAUAUGAGACAAAUAAUGUAUUGCGCGAUAUAUAGAUAGAUAUAUCAGGAUGUCCGAUAAAUGAUCAAACGAAAGGUGGGGGUAGAUCCUGUACCAAAGUCCUGCACCAUUUUUUUUUGUAACGCUUAAAUAAUAAAAGAGUUAUUAUUGAGUAAAAUCUGGCCAAUUAGCGCCAAUCUUUAACUGGACACACGUCAGUGAGUCGCACACCUGGUAGUGGUGCGCCGCUAUAACGGCGGAGCGCUCACGUAACUACACUAAAAAAAUGAUCCAAGACUUUUCGAUUCAAUUUGAGCAAAUCUAUCUCCACCUUUCAUUUGGUCACUUACUUGUCAAACAUCUUGUAUAUUUCCAGAAUACAAUCUUAAGAUCUAAGAUCAAGUUAAACGUCCUAUCAACGCUUUGUGCAGCUCUUAAUAAGCUACUAACAGUAUUUUAAGUGUUUUCACACACCACUGGCUUGUGAUAAAAUAUAAUAAUAAAUAAUAAUAAUACAAUAAUAAUCAUGAAUUGCUUUAUUAAAUAAGGGAUAGGCAUAAGAUGUAAUUUUAGCUUUGCAAUCUAAAUUUGCCUUAUCCUCGCGAUACAUGUCUGAGAAUAGUAAAAAGUAAAAUGUGUUUUUUAUUUAAGCAUAAUCUUGCUAUGGAUAUUCAUGUGCGAAUCUAUAUGUUAAUUUGACAUUUGUACAAAAUGCUUUUCUGCUCUUAGAACAUUUCUCAUUCAACGUCUAACAAUUUUUCUACGAAUUAAUAAUGUUAUGAAGGAAUGAAAUUUUUUACAAACAAUCAUCGUUGCCGCACAUUUUAUUCGAAAGAUUUUUGAUUCUUCAGAAACACAGCCUCAUAUAUAGCAUAAGAAGAAAAAUAUAUAAUAAUUUUCCGACAAGAUUUAAAUUGUGUAUAAAAUAUGCACAUGCUGGUGCUUUUUAUAUAUAAUUAGUAUAUGUGAAGUAUAUAAAUUUAUAAUAAAAUAUAUAAUGAUAAUUAAAAUAUUAAGUACAUAAAAUACUAAUCAUAUCAAGGUGAGAGAUGGCUUCAUCUCAUAAUCAUCAUAAUACAUAAGCAUCAUUUACUCCAAAUCUCUAUACGAAAAAUCUAUGAAUUAUUUUUUAAAGGAUACUGCUGCACACUUACAUAUACAUUAUUUAUGAAAAAAUGUAUUAUUUAUGAAAAAAAAAAUGCGCGCGCGUAUUGAUUGUUAUUUAUUAUUUUUACAUACUUAGUAAACAAGGCUAUUUCUCAUAUGUACAUGUGACUUAUGUACAAUAUGUGUGUAUGUAUGCCUUAAGAUUUUAUAAUUCUAGGAGACACGAUUUUGCAAGGAAAAAUAAAUUAUACUGUGCUUGUUUAAGAAA